AGCAGCCGCGGUAAUUCCAGCUCCAAUAGCGUAUAUUAAAGUUGUUGCAGUUAAAAAGCUCGUAGUUGAAUUUCGAGAUCAAUUUGUUGGUCGUGCCUCGGUACGUACUGGCAAUUUUGGUUUCUCCCUUCUGAAGAACCAUGAUGUCAUUAAUUUGGUGUCAUGGGGAAUCAGGACUGUUACUUUGAAAAAAUUGAGUGUUUAAAGCAGGCUCGCGCUUGAAUACAUUAGCAUGGAAUAAUGAAAUAGGACGUUUGAUUCUAUUUUGUUGGUUUCUAGGAUCGACGUAAUGAUUAAUAGGGAUAGUUGGGGGCAUUAGUAUUCAAUUGUCAGAGGUGAAAUUCUUGGAUUUAUUGAAGACUAACUACUGCGAAAGCAUUUGCCAAGGAUGUUUUCAUUAAUCAA
rnacentral:rRNA from 1 species